CAAGAUGCUUAUAUAUAUGGUGUGAUUUUUAUAGGAUGCCUCUGUCACUAAUAAGUUGUGUGACAUUGUGCCAAUCAUUCAACGUCUGUGAACCAAGAGGAGCCAUGACUUUCUCAUCUACAAAAGUGAGACUUCGCGGUCCUCAGCCCCUUAAGCACCUUCUAAGGAUGAACUAG
rnacentral:lncRNA from 1 species